rnacentral:rRNA from 1 species
CAGUAGCCGCGGUAAUACGUAGGUGGCAAGCGUUGUCCGGAAUUAUUGGGCGUAAAGCGUGCGCAGGCGGUUGUGUAAGACAGGUGUGAAAUCCCCGGGCUUAACCUGGGAACUGCGCUUGUGACUGCACAGCUAGAGUAUGGCAGAGGGGGGCGGAAUUCCACGUGUAGCAGUGAAAUGCGUAGAGAUGUGGAGGAACACCGAUGGCGAAGGCAGCCCCCUGGGCCAAUACUGACGCUCAUGCACGAAAGCGUGGGGAGCAAACAGGAUUAGAUACCCCGGUAGUCCCUGUCUCUUAUAC